AGUGAACGCUGGCGGUAGGCCUAACACAUGCAAGUCGAACGGCAGCACAGUAAGAGCUUGCUCUUACGGGUGGCGAGUGGCGGACGGGUGAGGCAUACAUCGGAAUCUACUUUUUCGUGGGGGAUAACGUAGGGAAACUUACGCUAAUACCGCAUACGACCUACGGGUGAAAGCAGGGGAUCUUCGGACCUUGCGCGAUUGAAUGAGCCGGUGUCGGAUUAGCUAGUUGGCGGGCUAAAGGCCCACCAAGGCUACGAUCCGUAGCUGGUCUGAGAGGAUGAUCAGCCACACUGGAACUGAGACACGGUCCAGACUCCUACGGGAGGCAGCAGUGGGGAAUAUUGGACAAAGGCGGCAAGCCUGAUCCAGCCAUACCGCGUGGGUGAAGAAGGCCUUCGGGUUGUAAAGCCCUUUUGUUGGGAAAGAAAAGCAGCAGGUUAAUACCCCGCUGUUCUGACGGUACCCAAAGAAUAAGCACCGGCUAACUUCGUG
rnacentral:rRNA from 1 species